GACCACAGCAGCCUGCUCCCCACCGCGCUUGCAGAGCCCGGACGCGCGUGAGUCGGGGGCCCGCAGAGGCCUCACCCUUGGAGGUCGCCGCUUGUCAGGCCUGACUGCUGUUGGCGCCCACCCCGCCGCCCCCGAGGGGCCGCUCGAGGCCGGACUGCUGCUUUGCCGUGGCGGGCUCCACCCGGGACGUGGCGCUGCGGGCCGGGGCGGUCCAGCUGCAAUCCCUACUCCCUGCCAAAGGAGAACCCAGUUACUGAACAUCGGAUGAGACCGUGGAUACUAAAUUGGGAGUGAAGGUCCAUACCUGGGUCUCAGAAGCACAGUACAGUUACACCAGCCUCCUGAGUAUGACAGCAACAUUCCUUCAGGGAUUAAAGAAAAUGCUUCAGAAGAUUGGAACACUGCUCAGCCUUCCCAAACUUCUUUUACCACUGAUGUUUCUACCUUAGUGAUCUUCCUCCUUAUUUUAAUGCUUCUUUCUCUUUACAAUUAAAAGUUCAUAAAAUCUUUCAACAUUAUUUUUCACUACAAAAGUCUGA
rnacentral:antisense_RNA from 1 species